GCGUCGUAGUGCAACGGUUAGGUACGCUCCUGGAAAGAGUGAGAUCUGGGUUCGAAUCCCGGCUGACGCA